ensembl:misc_RNA Y_RNA Y RNA
GGCAGGUCCGAGUGCAGUGGUGUUGAUAACUAAUUCAUUACAAUCAGUUACAGAUUUCUUUGUUCCUUCUCCACUCCCACUGCUUCACUUGACUGGCCUUUA